GUGGGGAAUUUUGCGCAAUGGGGGAAACCCUGACGCAGCAACGCCGCGUGAGUGAUGAAGGCCUUCGGGUCGUAAAGCUCUGUCAGAGGGGAAGAAAUGCAGGGGUGCUAAUAUCAUCUUUGCUUGACGGUACCCUCAAAGGAAGCACCGGCUAACUCCGUGCCAGCAGCCGCGGUAAUACGGAGGGUGCGAGCGUUGUUCGGAAUUAUUGGGCGUAAAGCGCGUGUAGGCGGUUUGGUAAGUCUGAUGUUAAAGCCCCGGGCUCAACCUGGGAAGUGCAUUGGAAACUGUCAGACUUUAAUACGGGAGAGGGUAGUGGAAUUCCUAGUGUAGGAGUGAAAUCCGUAGAUAUUAGGAGGAACACCGGUGGCGAAGGCGGCUACCUGGACCGAUAUUGACGCUGAGACGCGAAAGCGUGGGGAGCAAACAGGAUUAGAUACCCGAGUAGUCC
rnacentral:rRNA from 1 species